rnacentral:tRNA from 1 species
GCCCUCGUAGCUCAGGGGAUAGAUCGUCGGCCUCCGGAGCCGAAGGCGCAAGUUCGAAUCUUGCCGAGGGCA